rnacentral:rRNA from 1 species
UACGUAGGGGGCAAGCGUUGUCCGGAUUUAUUGGGCGUAAAGCGCGUGUAGGCGGCCAGGUAGGUCCGCUGUGAAAACCCGAGGCUCAACCACGGGACGUCGGCGGAAACCAUCUGGCUAGAGUCCGGAAGAGGAGAGUGGAAUUCCCGGUGUAGCGGUGAAAUGCGCAGAUAUCGGGAAGAACACCCGUGGCGAAGGCGGCUCUCUGGGACGGUACUGACGCUGAGACGCGAAAGCGUGGGGAGCGAACAGG